rnacentral:rRNA from 1 species
UACGUAGGGGCCUAGCGUUGUCCGGAAUUAUUGGGCGUAAAGGGCUCGUAGGCGGUCUGUUGCGUCGGGAGUGAAAACUCAGGGCUUAACCCUGAGCCUGCUUCCGAUACGGGCAGACUAGAGUGAUGUAGGGGAGACUGGAAUUCCUGGUGUAGCGGUGAAAUGCGCAGAUAUCAGGAGGAACACCGAUGGCGAAGGCAGGUCUCUGGGCAUUAACUGACGCUGAGGAGCGAAAGCAUGGGGAGCGAACAGG